rnacentral:rRNA from 1 species
GAUCAUGGCUCAGGAUAAACGCUGGCGGCGUGCCUAACACAUGCAAGUCGAACGAUCCCGCAAGGGAGAGUGGCGGAAGGGUGAGUAACACGUGGGAAUCUACCUCCUCGCAGGGAACAACCUCUCGAAAGAGAGGCUAAUACCCAAAAGGGUCAGAAAUGAUCAGAGUCGAAAGGCGUGAGGAGAGGAGCCCGCGGCCCAUCAGCUAGUUGGUGAGGUAAUGGCUUACCAAGGCUACGACGGGUAGGGGAUCUGAGAGGAUGUCCCCCACACUGGAACUGAAACACGGUCCAGACGCCUACGGGUGGCAGCAGUGAGGAAUAUUGGACAAUGGGCGAAAGCCCGAUCCAGCAACGCCGCGUGGAGGAUGAAGGCCUUCGGGUCGUAAACUUCUUUAGAGGGAGACGAGAAAGGACGGUAUCCCUAGAAUAAGCGACGGCAAACUACGUG